CUCCAAUAGCGUAUACUAAAGUUGUUGCAGUUAAAAAGCUCGUAGUUGAAUUUCUGGUCUUGGACGGCGGUCUACCACAAUUGUGGUACGUACCAACUGUCCGAGUCCAUCCUCGGGGAAAACAUGCCUGUGAUUCAGUUCAUGGGUAUGGGAUCCUCGUCAUUUACUGUGAGCAAAAUAGAGUGUUCAAAGCAGGCUUAUGCCGUUGAAUACAUUAGCAUGGAAUAAUAAGAUAGGACCUUGGUCUAUUUUGUUGGUUUGUACUCCAAGGUAAUGAUUAAUAGGGAUAGUUGGGGGUAUUCGUAUUCAAUUGUCAGAGGUGAAAUUCUUGGAUUUAUGGAAGACGAACUACUGCGAAAGCAUUUACCAAGGAUGUUUUCAUUAAUCAAGAACGAAAGUAAGGGGAUCGAAGAUGAUUAGAUACCAUCGUAGUCUUUACCAUAAACUAUGCCGACUAGGGAUUGGUGGACGUUUGUAACGACUCCAUCAGCACCUUAUGAGAAAUCAAAGUCUUUGGGUUCCGGGGGGAGUAUGGUCGCAAGGCUGAAA
rnacentral:rRNA from 1 species